rnacentral:rRNA from 1 species
UACGUAGGGUCCGAGCGUUGUCCGGAAUUAUUGGGCGUAAAGGGCUCGUAGGCGGUCUGUUGCGUCGGGAGUGAAAACUUACAGCUUAACUGUGAGCGUGCUUCCGAUACGGGCAGACUUGAGGUAUUCAGGGGAGAACGGAAUUCCUGGUGUAGCGGUGAAAUGCGCAGAUAUCAGGAGGAACACCGGUGGCGAAGGCGGAUCUCUGGGCCUUACCUGACGCUGAGGCGCGAAAGCUAGGGGAGCAAACAGG